UCAAAAAAUGGAGUUCUAUCAUCGAAUCGCUCAAACCUAUUCUCAUGCCGAUGUGAGCGAUAAAAGCGGCAAAACUAUUCUAAAUCAACUGGAAGGUGAACUAAGUGAAGAUUGCUGCCAUACAUCUUACCCUGUGCUGUACUGAACCUGACGGACAAAGGAAAUUGGAAACCCAGUUACAUUGAAAAUCGUAACAGCUUUGUCUACUGGGUACAGAGCAUAAUCGAUCUACAGUCAAAAGUUAAAGUUCACCACACUUCACGUUCUGAGACUAGAGGAAUGCCACAAUGUCCACUGGUGAUCGUUGUUGGACCAGACCUAUCAAAGUUGAACACCUUUAUAGUAUCCUUCGGUGACAAAACCUACAGCCUACCAUUGCUGCGGAAUGUGCCGGAUCAUGGAAUCUACGUCAUCUACGUCAUCAUGGAUCAAUCACGUCAUCUACGAGUUUCCGGUAGAAUCCUCUAGUCGCGCAAAAAUACUUUCGAUCAGUAAUGUGAUCAGUUCCAGAAGUUAAAGAUAUUCAACUGUCUAUAUAGAUUUUUUAAAUAAAUAAUCCAGUUUUGUGGUUAUCGACAGUUUCAUUGUAUAGAAAUAAAACAUGAAAUGCUUCAGAGGUAAUACAAAUCCUCAUUUAA